UCUUCGCGCAGACCCUGUUCCGGCUUGCCAGGGCUCAAAGCAUUUACAUCCUCUUCCCCCCGAUUUACCGUUGCCUGCCCUCCAACGAAGCAAAGGCGCUCAUUCGCGGACACUGACUUCGCUCUCCAACCUGACGGACGCACCCAGGUUUGCUGAACGAGGAAGCACACGAGGACGAAGCGGCGACCUCCUUUUCCCCCCGACCCGGGAUGGGUCAGGUACACCAUGGUCCUGGCUGAGGUAGUAGUUUGUGCUGUUGGUCGGGUUGUGACAUUGCCCGCUGUGGAGAUAACUGUGCAAGCUACUGCCUUGCUGGUGCUGGUGAUGAUCAGCUGCGGAUGAAGACAAUGACGACGGGAAUCCCCUUUGUUUUCUCCGGGAUCGCUUUAACGGAAUGGGAUGGCAGCAAAUCCUCCUUCUCCUACAACAAAACGAAUCCCGCUUUGGCUGUUAAGAUGUGUAGCUUUUCUGUUGAAUCUGACUUCAGCCUCCUUAACCUCACAGCAUUGGGAUUUUUAUUUAUUUAUUUUAUUUCUUGGAUUUCUAUACCGCCCCAUCCCCGAAGGGCUCUUUCAGCAAAUGUGUGUGUGUACUGACUUGGAAAUGAAUGGUAUUUCUAGACUACAAAUAUUUUAUAUGUUAUAUUUCAUAGUCACAGACUGAAAAAUGCAAUGUUUAUUAUUAUUAUUAUUAUUAAUUAAUUGAUUAAUUAAUUGAUUAAUUGAUUGAUUGAUUGAUUAAAUUUAUGGGCCGCCUCAUCCCCGAAGGGCUCGAGGCGGCUCACAACAUGACUGUUUCCAGAACAGUAAAUCAAUAUAACAAUAUAUUAUUAAAGUUGUUCGUUUAACUGAAAGAACAUAUGUAUGUUGACAUCGCUUUAUUAUAGGAAGGAAAGCCAGAAUUUGUUGCAUUUGCUGAACGGUGAUUGGACAGCAAUAGAUACUGGUUUGGUCAAUCAAAACUUCUUUAUCUUUAGAUAAAGCUAGUUAAGUUUAGAUGCACUACUGCACUACAGUUGAAGAGAAUUUUAGAUUGUAACAACAUACUAGAUAUAGGGCUAUUUGAAUUAUAAUUUACAAUUGGAUUCUUUUGUAGGGCAAAUUAAUAGCUUAAAUAAGUUUUAAGUGAUUUGAAUGCAUUUUAGCUACCUUGUGUACCCUCUGUUUCUAUAGGGAAACACCACAGUAGUAAAAUAUAGGAAAUAACGCUUCUUGAUUUGAUAAUUUAGGAGAUCUUUCACUUUUAAUAAUAGUGUGUUUUCUAUGUCUUUUUGUUGCCAUGAUGUUUUGUUCCAAGGGUAUUUCUAAACAGAGAUGGCAUAAAUUAGUAUCGAGUUUUGCAGCUGAUUAGUUAUUUUAUUAUCUGGAAUAAUUUAAAUGAAUACGUCUUUAAGUAUGGAGGCUACUAAAGCAGAGAGAAAUAUUUCUCAGUAAAAAUUCUGCUGCACGUCAGCAAGUUUAGCCCUAGUCAGAGUCAUACUAGAUGCAUUGAAAGGUCUUGUAAAAUAGUGUUAUUCUAGUGGUAAUAUUGCUGAGCUGAUUGGUUAACUAAAAGGAUGGGGGGAAAUAUUUCAAGCUUUUACAACCCUUUGAUAGGAAAAGGUAUAUAAGUUCUUGUUUCAGUAAUAAUAAAACGUAAAAAGCAUUUAGUACUGUUAUUAAAUUUAAGUUUUUGUAAAAUAGACAACUUAUGAUUUAUAAAUAGUACCAUAUAAUGAGACACAGUACAUAAGAAGCAUUUGACAAAUAUAAUUGAAAUUCCCAAACAAAAUUAUUAGACAGUAUGAACACCAGUAUUCACUUGUUAAAACUAAUUUGAUCUGCUUGAAAUCAACAUGACCAAUAGACAGUGGAUAAUUUCAGUGAUGCAGCUGGCCUCCACACGGGCCACGGCCUUUACGGCUCUGGCCCCGGCCUGGUGGAACAGGCUCUUCCCCUCCAGCUGUCCGGGCCCUGCGGGACCUCGGUGAGUUCCUUGCAGGGCCUGUAAGACA